CGCUGAAAAGAUAAAUAUCUCGUCCUAAUAAGCCAUAUAAAAUAUUCUACUUGUCUUAAUUAAUUAAUACCCCAAUGCUCCCUUCUCUCCUUGUCUCUCGUUUUUUCCCCAAAAUAAACCCUAAGCUCUGUAUGUCAAAUUUCUCUCCAAAGCAUGUAAAAUUUCUAACAAUUGACUCUUCCAAAUUUCUCUCUGAAAGCGGAUGACUCAUGACGACGUCUAUUUGUAAUGGGUGAAGACUCACAAACCGACAAUGAUAAGAGUUGCCAAUCUGAAUAGGUUUGUACCUCUUAUCUUCUUCUUUUUCUGUUGACGACAAGAAAUUUCUUAUUUUAGUGAAUAUUGAGUGUAUAAAGUGAUAAUAUUUUGUACCAAUUCUACUGAAUAAUGAUUGUUUUGGUGUAAGAGCUUAAAGUGGAGUAUUGGGCUUGAGUUGAGGAUGGUGGCUAGGGUUAGGUUUAAAGUUGGGGCUUGGAGCGUAAGGAGGAUGAAAAAUUCAAGCCCCCUGUAUCAGAGAAAGCUUCCUACAGAAGUGCAAGAACCAGUUUUCUAUAGUAACGGAAAUCCUCAAAGUCAAGGAUCUUGAAUAGAUAUUAUUAAUCGAUCUGAUUUGAGGACUUUAACAUGCACAAUGAUAAAUAGGCUAUUUCUUCCCUCUUUGCUGAUGUAAAAUCUUUUUGGGCUUUGCACCCCAAUUGGAAGCUCGGUUGACAAGGAGAUGGAACUUUGGUUUUUUGUCUUCAUUCGUAUGUUAGGUUCCCGUGUCCUCCUUUGGAGUUCGGCUCUCAUUAUUUUAUGAAGCACUUCAUUUCAAUUCCCAUGAACGUAAAGCAGUUGACUAGUCUUAAUUAGGGUUUCAAGAGUUGAGCUUACAAGUCUAGAUGCAAGUUUUGAAGACUUCAUACCUCUCGACGAAUUCAUUACCAUUUUGCUAGGGUUGUCAAGAAAAAAAAACAUUUUGCUAGGAGCUUGUGUAAAUGUUACCAUGACUGAUGCAUCAUGGCUAUACGUUUAAUAGUGAGAUAUUACAUUUUUGGUGAUUAAUUAUCAAUUAUGAUAUGCAUGCAUAUGCGUAUUUGUAUAAGAAAGUAUGAUUUUUAUUCAUCUUUUUGUUUAUGUGCA